AGUGAACGCUGGCGGCAGGCCUAACACAUGCAAGUCGAACGGCAGCACAAGAGAGCUUGCUCUCUGGGUGGCGAGUGGCGGACGGGUGAGGAAUGCAUCGGAAUCUGCCCAUUUGUGGGGGAUAACCUCGGGAAACCGGGACUAAUACCGCAUACGACCUACGGGUGAAAGCAGGGGAUCUUCGGACCUUGCGCAGAUGGACGAGCCGAUGCCGGAUUAGCUAGUUGGAGGGGUAAAGGCCCACCAAGGCGACGAUCCGUAGCUGGUCUGAGAGGAUGAUCAGCCACACUGGGACUGAGACACGGCCCAGACUCCUACGGGAGGCAGCAGUGGGGAAUAUUGGACAAUGGGCGCAAGCCUGAUCCAGCCAUGCCGCGUGUGUGAAGAAGGCCUUCGGGUUGUAAAGCACUUUUGUUGGGAAAGAAAAGCAGCCGGUUAAUACCCGGUUGUCAUGACGGUACCCAAAGAAUAAGCACCGGCUAACUUCGUG
rnacentral:rRNA from 1 species